UGCGGCCUACGGGACGCAGCAGUGAGGAAUAUUGGUCAAUGGGCGGGAGCCUGAACCAGCCAAGUCGCGUGAGGGAAGACGGUCCUACGGAUUGUAAACCUCUUUUGCCGGGGAGCAACGGGGUCCUUGCGAGGGCCCGAUGAGAGUACCCGGAGAAAAAGCAUCGGCUAACUCCGUGCCAGCAGCCGCGGUAAUACGGAGGAUGCGAGCGUUAUCCGGAUUUAUUGGGUUUAAAGGGUGCGUAGGCGGGCUGCCAAGUCAGCGGUCAAAUUGCGGGGCUCAACCCCGUCGAGCCGUUGAAACUG
rnacentral:rRNA from 1 species